rnacentral:tRNA from 1 species
UGUCGGUGGCCCGCGGCACAGUGGGGCGUCGGCGAGGGACCGACCGGCACACUGGCCGGGAACACCGACCGCGGUUCUACGCGGCGACCAGAGA